UACGUAGGGGGCUAGCGUUGUCCGGAUUUAUUGGGCGUAAAGAGCUCGUAGGCGGUGUGUCACGUCGGCCGUGAAAACCUGCAGCUUAACUGUGGGCGUGCGGUCGAUACGGGCAUCACUGGAGUUCGGCAGGGGAGACUGGAAUUCCUGGUGUAGCGGUGAAAUGCGCAGAUAUCAGGAGGAACACCGGUGGCGAAGGCGGGUCUCUGGGCCGAGACUGACGCUGAGGCGCGAAAGCGUGGGGAGCAAACAGG
rnacentral:rRNA from 1 species